rnacentral:rRNA from 1 species
UACGAAGGGUGCAAGCGUUAAUCGGAAUUACUGGGCGUAAAGGGCUCGUAGGCGGCCAACUAAGUCAUACGUGAAAUCCCUCGGCUCAACCGGGGAACUGCGUGUGAUACUGGCGGGCUUGAAUUCGGGAGAGGGAUGUGGAAUUCCAGGUGUAGCGGUGAAAUGACGUAGAUAUCUGGAGGAACACCGGUGGCGAAGGCGGCAUCCUGGACCGAGAUUGACGCUGAGGCGCGAAAGCUAGGGGAGCAAACGGGG